rnacentral:misc_RNA from 1 species
GACAUGGUCAUGGUCGUAUCCUCGAGACUGCGUACCAUUCGUACCGGCAUCGAGGUUGCCCGAGGACGACGCGCACCCGGAGUGUCCGCGCGCAUGGCCGUGCGCGUUGUAUAUCACCGGCGAAAAAUCCGGUUGUGCUAUGGUGUAAAAUAUGCUGCUGAUUCCCUUCAUCGUUUUCUCUCCCUUCGCUCGCUCACGUGUAUAGUCAG